UAAUUUUAUUAAAAUUACUAAAAUAUCCAAAAUUUUCAAUUUCAAACCCUAAUUUCACUAACCCUAACCUCUCUCAUUCAAUUCACAUACACGUGCCCCUCUCCACCCGUUUGUUUCUCAGUGAGCCACGCUAACCCUCCCUCACCACUCAUUCACUCAUAAACAGAACACACACCACACACAAAACAAAUAAACAAGCGCAUACACAGACAUAUACACGGAGAGAAGAGAAGAGAGAGUGCUGCGAGCCAGGGACGACGCGAGGAAGGAGAGGAGCCAUCGUGCUCGGCCGCUGCUAGCUCCAUCGCAUCCUACGCCGCGCCAUCGCCCCCAGACCGCGUCCGUUCCGUUCAGCCACCGCCGCUGCCGUCGUGUGGGUGAGAGAGAGAAGCUGAGAAAGACUCAGCCGCGAGAACCAGAGGCGCGUGAGAGAGGGAAGACACGAUCGACGAAGGGAAGGGAAAAGGGUUUCACCACCGCGGUGUCCGGCCACCACUGCUGCCUCCGACUGGAGCCCUAGUCACCGGAGCCCCUAUCGUCGCCGUUGCAUGUGAGAGGAGGAGAUGACAUUGCUGAUUUGGAUUCUGCCCAUGUCCCUCAUCGUCACUGGAAUCACGAACCAGAGGCGGAAGGAGGCAUUCCUCCAUCGCCCGCCAGCCACCAAGCUAUGACUAAAUUGGAGACAUUGUUUCUCUUACCUUCCGUUUUGAGUCAUUAUUGUCAUUAUUCGGCGUUGCCACCCUUGUCUAGAGCUAUUGAAUGUUUCUGCUGCGAGAAUAAUACUAGAAUCGCUGCUGCUGCCACGAAUUGGGGAUAAAGGGGAUACCUGCGUCAAAACCUGCUAUUGCGACAUUGAGGUAGGGGAUUUGUUUUACAAUAAAUGUUUUAAGUUAUGAAUGCCAAUAAAAUUAAAUGAGUAACUGCAAAUGGUUUAUGGUUGCUUUGUGUGAAUAAUUGUUGGAAUUGAGUUGAAUCAUGGUUGUAGUUGGUGAUUGGUUAAUGAUUUAAUGUUGUAAUUAAUGACGAUGUUGUGUAUUUUGAAGUUAUACUUGCUGCUAGUACUUGUUGAUGUUGAUCUUGUGUAUGGAAUGUUGCUGUGGCUGCUGGAAAUUGAUUUGAUGAAUCAGAACUUGAGAUAUGUUGUUAUAGAUGAGGUGCUGAAGAAUGGAUACUGUGAUAAUAUUGUUACGUUGCACUUAUGAUAUGAAAUUGUGAUAUAUUGAAUUAAGAGUUCUUGGGCAACUUUGGUUAGUCAAAAAAAAGUUAGAAAUGUGGUUUUAGAUGAAUCCUAGGCUUGAAUAUAGGAUUUGGUAUGUGAGGUUGUUGGAAAUACUUUGUACAGAAUUUCUGCAGAAAUCUGCAUAAUUGGCAGCAGAACAAAGACUUUUUAGGAGGGGUCCAGACUUAAUUUUUAGAUGAAAUUAUUUUUCUGUAAAACUUUAGUGUGUCUUGAAUAUUCCAUAAUAAAAUUCAUGGAGUUUGGCGAAGUGGUUUGGAAGAUACGAUUUUUUGAAAUUUAGUGGUUGCUGCAGAUUUUUCUGGUUUUCUGGUUCUGCAGUACCAACUUCCAGACGCUAUAACUUUUAAUUUAAACAGAAUUUUGAGUUGAUUUUAAAAGGAUUUUAAAGAUUUAUCAGUCUAUUUUAAGUGAGUACAAGUUUCAUGUUCAUAUCUAUUUUGUAGACUUAGAUAAGUCACUUGGAAGGUCGGUUGUUUGCUGGAAACUCUGAACUGGUUUAUGAAAACAAAGCUCCACUUCCAAUUGAUAAUUAAUUAAUCAAAUGAAAUGAUAUGAACCUGAAAUUUGUGGAUUCUAAAACUUAGGGAUGUUGACUGUAAUCUCACCAAAAUUUAGAAGUAACGAAUUAGAAUUGAAAUUAUUAUGGAAUUUAUAAAAAACAUGGCUGCUGUCUAUUUUUUGAAUUUUUGUAAAUGCAAUAGCAGAAUUUUAAAGCUUGUACAAAAUUCAAUUCUAAUCCAAAUUCAGUAAAACCUAACUUAAAUUAAAGAUUAAGAUCUCUAGAGUUACCUUACCAACAUGGUUUUGAAUUAGACAAACUUAGGAAAUGAAAAGGAAUGUAAGUUGUCCCUAAGAAAGGUUAAAGUUAAGGACAAUGAUAUUGAGAGAUAUAGUGAAGAAAGAAAAAUGAGGAAUAAGGAAUGAAAUAAAAGUUGAGACCGAGUGCUAAUGCGGAAGUGUCCGCCUAACUGAUAUCAUAUUGUAUGUUUAAAUGGGCCUUUGUGCCGAACUGCUAAUGCGAAAGUGCCUGCCUAAUGGAUAGCCUGAGAUUGCUAAUGCGGGAAUGUUUGCCUAAUUGAUAGCACUGUUCCUUACUGUGAUACACAUUGAAAUGUUAUUAUAUGAGGCCUAAUUGACACGGGUAACCGUGAUGCCAAGGUGUCUAAUUGACAUAGUAAAGGGACCAUAUUCGGGGUUCACUCCGAGUAACGUCGGGUUGCGGGUAGACAACCGACGCAUGAGCUCAUGGCCUGCGCUAGGAACAGGUAUGCAUCAUCUUGUUUGCACAUUUAUAUUUGAUUGUGUUUGCUUUAUUUUUAUUUAUUUGUGAUUGUGCGGUUGUUUUGGUGAUGUACUGGUGUGCUUUAUGGAUAUUUUACUUGUGUUGUAGUCUUGAUAAUGUAUUUAGGAAUGUUGUUUAUGGAUAAGGAAUUGUUAAUGUGACUGGGAUUUUGUUUAAGUAACGUGAUUUAAAGAAAGGAAUUUAAAACAGUUUUAAGUGAAAUUGUUUUUGUGAUAUGAACUAGCUAUUUGUAUUUACUCUGUUUUUUUUUUUUUUACGGCGUUCACGUUCCCUACUGAGAACGUGUGGCUUUGUUCUCACCCCAAAAUCUUCCACCCCUUUCAGUGACACAGGUUCCAGGACUGAGUGUGAAGCUGCGAGCGAUUAUGAGUUUCUUUUGAAUUCUUUUGUAUAAUAUUUAUCAUUAUUAGUAAUUAAGUGAUUAUUAUUACCUGUGUGUUUUUUUAUGAAUGAUUUUGAUUAAUGAGAAAUAAUAUUUUCCUGCA